rnacentral:rRNA from 1 species
UACGGGGGGGGCAAGCGUUGUUCGGAAUUACUGGGCGUAAAGGGCUCGUAGGUGGCCAACUAAGUCAGACGUGAAAUCCCUCGGCUUAACCGGGGAACUGCGUCUGAUACUGGAUGGCUUGAGUUUGGGAGAGGGACGCGGAAUUCCAGGUGUAGCGGUGAAAUGCGUAGAUAUCUGGAGGAACACCGGUGGCGAAGGCGGCGUUCUGGACUGCAACUGACACUGAGAAACGAAAGCUAGGGGAGCAAACAGG